UGCCGGCGACCGGCGGACGGGUGCGUAACGCGUAUGUAACCUACCUUUGACAGGGGGAUAACAUCGAGAAAUUGGUACUAAUACCCCAUAACAUCACCGGAGGCAUCUUCGGUGGUUGAAAACUCAGGUGGUCAGAGAUGGCAUGCGUUGUAUUAGCUAGUUGGUGAGGUAACGGCUCACCAAGGCGACGAUACAUAGGGGGACUGAGAGGUCAACCCCCCACAUUGGUACUGAGACACGGACCAAACUCCUACGGAAGGCAGCAG
rnacentral:rRNA from 1 species